CCCCGCACAAGCAGCGGAGCGUGUGGUUUAAUUCGAUGUUACACGAAGAACCUUUACCUGGGUUUGACAUGCUAGUGGUAAUGAAGCGAAAGCUAAGUGACCCGCAAGGGAGCUAGCACAGGUGCUGCAUGGCUGUCGUCAGCUCGUGUCGUGAGAUGUUCGGUUAAGUCCGCUAACGAGCGCAACCCUCGCUGUGUGUUACAAGUGUCACACAGGACCGCCGGUCUUAAGCCGGAGGAAGGCGAGGAUGACGUCAAGUCAGCAUGGCCUUUAUAUCCUGGGCUACACACACGCUACAAUGGCCAACACAAUAGGUUGCUAAGCCGCGAGGUGGCGCCAAUCCAUAAAGUUGGUCUCAGUUCAGAUUGUAGGCUGCAACCCGCCUGCAUGAAGAUGGAGUUGCUAGUAACCGCAGGUCAGCUAUACUGCGGUGAAUACGUUCCCGGGGCUU
rnacentral:rRNA from 1 species